CCCUUAGAUGUUCUGGGCCGCACGCGCGCUACACUGUUCGACGCAGCGAGUCUUAACCUUGACCGAAAGGUUUGGGUAAUCUUCAGCAAAGUCGAACGUGAUGGGGAUCGAUCAUUGCAAUUAUUGAUCGUGAACGAGGAAUUCCUAGUAAGUGCAAGUCAUCAGCUUGCGCUGAUUACGUCCCUGCCCUUUGUACACACCGCCCGUCGCUACUGCCGAUUGAAUGGUUUAGUGAGAUCUCUGGAUUGACGCUGGCUAGGGGGCGACCCUUGGCCAGACUGCUCGAGAAACUGCUCAAACUUGAUCAUUUAGAGGAAGUAAAAGUCGUAACA
rnacentral:rRNA from 1 species